UAAGUGUAUUUGAAUAUUAAAACUAUUUGUUUUAAGUGAAACCUACUUGUAUUUAUGUUCCCCUCAUUUUAGUUUAGGUCCCUACCAUCCCCCUGCUUGAGAGAGACUCACCUGAAGGACAUGGAUCUGAUGAGGACACAGUGGGGCCAGACAACAUUCCUGGAUACACAAAAGUGCUUACCUUGGCCGACUUCUUGGUAACACUUAAAGACAAGGCCACAAUGACCACAGCACAAGUUCAGCAUUUGAAAGACCUGUGGUCGGCACUUUCGGAGUAUGACAGGAAGAGGACAGUUUUUCUAACUCGGUUCUCUAAACAUCCAGUAGAGGGAAGAUUCAGACACAAACAGAAAAAAAGUUGCUCCAGGAGUAAAAAGUAUUCAGAGGUAAAAAUCACACAUUUAUUAAAAUAUCUGUACAGAAAUGGUGCACCAAAUGCAGGGUUUGAAAAACUUACUCACCCAAAGGAAUUACCAGCUAGGUCAGAAACAAUAUCAACAGUCAUGAUUCCACGCCAACAACAAGAUAGAGAAGUGUUAACCGAGAUACAUGAUAGACUUUAAGCUAAAAAAGCGCAGGCCCAGUAACUAUCCGUUUGGGAAAAGGCAGCUUUCUUUUUCAUAAAUAUGUACUUAGAUCAUUGGCCUAAUAUCCUUGCUUACGCAAAGCCCUAUCCGGACACCAUAGCAAACCAUCCACAAUGCCAUCAUACAUAUCUGAUGUAGGGUACCCUUAUCAAUAUUUGAGUUAUCACGAAAGAACAUGGACAGCAAAAAUUCUGUG